UUGGCAUGCGGGCAUCCGAACUGGAGCAUGAAGCCCUUGAUCACGCGGUGGAAAUGGAUGCCAUCGUAAAAGCCGGUCUGCACGAGAUCGACAAAGGAGGAGACAGUAAGCGGCAGCUCCGACAAGUAGAGCUCGGCCUCGAAAGU
rnacentral:rRNA from 16 species